rnacentral:SRP_RNA from 1 species
AGAACGGUCUUGCGCAACGGAGACCCGUGAACCAUGUCAGGUGGGGAACCAAGCAGCAUUCAGCGGAUUUCUCCGUGUGCCGCGGGGCUGCCGUUCUUGA